ACGCGUAAACAACCCUGGAAUCUUUGUCAUGAAACACCAUUCCUUAUUCUUUUUUAUUUUCUGGACUUUUUCUUAAAAUAAACAUUGGUGACUCCAGAAUUUCUUUUUGGAAGACCCCUAUCGUCGUCCGGUGGAUGAGUAUCUUUUCACUCAUCUUCCGGCUUUCCCUUCUUCCUCGUUCAAUGUCUCCACUCUUCAACUCUUCUCAUUGCAUACACUGAAUCUCUGAUUCAGAAGUUUCUUUCCAAAACUCAUUUCCAUCAGAGAACACUUGGUAGUUGUGAAUUCUUUUCAAAACUGAUUGAAAAUUCAAACACUUCAAACAUUCCUUUUGGUCCCAAAUUUGCAGAUCUCUUUCACCGUCUAUCUGCUCGUCCAAUUCCAGCAAACCCACACCUUCGAUUGCCGCCUCCCCGUCCCCGCCUACUUCGAGGUCGAGUUCUUCGCCGCGCAGAUUCUCAAGUACAAGCUUGGGCAGCUGGGUUUUCUGAGGAGAAUGGGACUCUAGGUGACAUAUGGGAAACUGUCUCGGAUAUUGCUACGCAGAACUUUCAGCAAAUAUACAAAGCAUAUGAGAUUCUUUCAGAUCUGAAUAAAAGGCAAAUAUAUGAUAUCUACAGCAUGGAGGGAUUGACCUCUGGUUUGGAACUUGGUCCAAAGCAUAAUGGAGUUGAAGAGAUCAAGGCAGAGCUCAGAGGGUAUUGCUCCGUUCAUCAUAGUUUUUGCUUAUUUAUAUCAAUACAAUAUGAAUGAGGUUGUUGAACAAUUCUGGAGUUAACUGCUUAAUUUGAAAAAUGAAAUGCUUAUUUUAUUUUUUAAUCAUAUAUUGCUAUUAUUACA